rnacentral:misc_RNA from 1 species
GAAAUGCGAUAAGUAGUGUGAAUUGCAGAAUUCAGUGAAUCAUCGAAUCUUUGAACGCACAUUGCGCCCCUCGGUAUUCCGUGGGGCAUGCCUGUUCGAGCGUCAUCUACACCCUCAAGCUCUGCUUGGUGUUGGGCGUCUGUCCCGCCUCCUUCGCGCGCGGACUCGCCCCAAAUCCAUUGGCGGCGGCCCUUGCCUCCCUCUCGCGCAGCACAUUGCGCUUCUCGAGGCGCGACGGACCGCGUCCAGCAAGCAACCGUCACACCGUCUUUGACCUCGGAUCAGGUAGGGAUACCCGCUGAACUUAAGC